AGGCAGGGAUUCCUGUCCCUUCCAUAAACCGUCCCCUCGGGGGC
rfam:Synechococcus sp. CC9902, complete genome.